rnacentral:rRNA from 1 species
AUUGAACGCUGGCGGCAGGCUUAACACCUGCAAGUCGAGCGAGCGGCGGACGGGUGAGUAAUGUCUGGGAAACUGCCUGAUGGAGGGGGAUAACUACUGGAAACGGUAGCUAAUACCGCAUACCAUCAGAUGUGCCCAGAUGGGAUUAGCUAGUAGGUGGGGUAAUGGCUCACCUAGGCGACGAUCCCUAGCUGGUCUGAGAGGAUGACCAGCCACACGGGAACGGAGGCACGGUCCAGACUCCUACGGGAGUCAGAAGUGGGGAAUAUUGCACAAUGGGCGCAAGCCUGAUGCAGCCAUGCCGCGUGUAUGAAGAAGGCCUUCGGGUUGUAAAGUACUUUCAGCGAGGAGGCGUUACUCGCAGAAGAAGCACCGGCUAACUCCGUGCCAGCAGCCGCGGUAAUAC